rnacentral:rRNA from 1 species
UACAGAGGUCCCAAGCGUUGUUCGGAUUCAUUGGGCGUAAAGGGUGCGUAGGCGGCGCGGUAAGUCGGGUGUGAAAUCUCGGAGCUUAACUCCGAAACUGCAUUCGAUACUGCCGUGCUUGAGGACUGGAGAGGAGACUGGAAUUUACGGUGUAGCGGUGAAAUGCGUAGAUAUCAGGAAGGAACACCGGUGGCGAAGGCGGGCUCUGGCGG